ACAUGUCUUUAAGAUAAUAAUUUAAAGUCUGAUCUGCUCAAUGAGAUAUUAAAUAGCUGCAGUAUUUUGACUGUGCAAAGGUAGCAUAAUCAAUAGUUUUUUAAUUAAAAGCUGGUAUGAAUGAUUUGAUAAGGUAAAUAUUGUCUCAAAUUUAAUAAAAUUAUAAUUUUUUUUAUUGUAAAAAAACAAUAAUGAAUUUAAAAGACGAGAAGACCCUAUAGAUUUUUAUUAUUUUUUUUUAAAAAAAAUUUAAAUUAAUAAAUAAAUUUUAUUAAAAAAUAAUUUGGUUGGGGAAAUUAUUAAAUUUAAUAAAUUUUAAUUAUUUUAAAACUAAAAUUAAUGAAUUUUUGAUCUUAAUUAUAAAUUAAAAGAUUAAAUUACCUUAGGGAUAACAGCGUAAUUUUUUUGGAGAGAUCAUAUUGAUAAAAAAGAUUGCGACCUCGAUGUUGAAUUAAGAUAAAAUUUUAAUGAAGAAGUUAAAAAAUUUUGGUCUGUUCGACCAUUAAAAUCUUACG
rnacentral:rRNA from 1 species